UCGCACCUACCGAUUGAACGUUCCGGUGAGACCUUCGGAUUCUGCGAUAUUUCAUUAAUUUGCAAUUUCACGGGAAAAGUUGAGCAAACCUUAACGUUUAGAGGAAGGUG
rnacentral:rRNA from 1 species